rnacentral:rRNA from 1 species
UACGGAGGGUGCAAGCGUUAUCCGGAUUCACUGGGUUUAAAGGGUGCGUAGGAGGGCAGGUAAGUCAGUGGUGAAAUCUUCGAGCUUAACUCGGAAACUGCCGUUGAUACUAUCUGUCUUGAAUCCCGUGGAGAUGAGCGGAAUAUGUCAUGUAGCGGUGAAAUGCUUAGAUAUGACAUAGAACACCAAUUGCGAAGGCAGCUCGUUACACGAAGAUUGACUCUGAGGCACGAAAAGCGUGGGGAGUCAAACAGGA